GAGUUUGAUCUUGGCUCAGAUUGAACGCUGGCGGCAUGCUUUACACAUGCAAGUCGAACGGCAGCGCGGGCUUCGGCCUGGCGGCGAGUGGCGAACGGGUGAGUAAUAUAUCGGAACGUACCCAAGAGUGGGGGAUAACGUAGCGAAAGUUACGCUAAUACCGCAUACGAUCUAAGGAUGAAAGCAGGGGAUCGCAAGACCUUGUGCUCCUGGAGCGGCCGAUAUCUGAUUAGCUAGUUGGUGAGGUAAAGGCUCACCAAGGCAACGAUCAGUAGCUGGUCUGAGAGGACGACCAGCCACACUGGAACUGAGACACGGUCCAGACUCCUACGGGAGGCAGCAGUGGGGAAUUUU
rnacentral:rRNA from 1 species